rnacentral:antisense_RNA from 1 species
UGUAGGAGUGAGCCUGCUCGCGAUAACGGUAUUUCAGUCAAUACUUUCGGUGACUGAUUUACCGCUAUCGCGAGCAGGCUCACUCCUACA